AUUGAACGCUGGCGGCAUGCUUUACACAUGCAAGUCGAACGGUAACAGGCCGCAAGGUGCUGACGAGUGGCGAACGGGCGAGUAAUGCAUCGGAACGUGCCCAGUCGUGGCGGAUAACGCAGCGAAAGCUGUGCUAAUACCGCAUACGAUCUAUGGAUGAAAGCGGGGGACCGUAAGGCCUCGCGCGAUUGGAGCGGCCGAUGUCAGAUUAGGUAGUUGGUGGGGUAAAGGCCCACCAAGCCAACGAUCUGUAGCUGGUCUGAGAGGACGACCAGCCACACUGGGACUGAGACACGGCCGAGACUCCGACGGGAGGCAGCAGUGGGGAAUUUUGGACAAUGGGCGCAAGCCUGAUCCAGCAAUGCCGCGUGCAGGAAGAAGGCCUUCGGGUUGUAAACUGCUUUUGUACGGAACGAAACGGUCUGGGUUAAUACCUCGGGCUAAUGACGGUACCGUAAGAAUAAGCACCGGCUAACUACGUGCCAGCCGCCGCCGUAAAAC
rnacentral:rRNA from 1 species